rnacentral:rRNA from 1 species
AGUCAUUGUUUUUUUUGUAGGUUUGGUUAAGAAAUCAUUUAUUAAGUUAUUGUAUUAGAUAUAGAUUUAAUUGAUUGAUUGGGGUUAGUACUGUAAAGGGUUUAAUAUUAGUGUAUUAUAGGAUAAGUUGUAUUGGUUCUAUGUACCUUGUGUAUCAGGGUUGAUUAAAUAGGAUAUAUUUAUUUAUUAUUCUCGAUUUUUUUGGAGUUAAUGACUUAUAUUUAUUAUUGUGUUAUAAAUACAGAUAAUGAGUUGUUAGUGGUGAAAUAUCAUUCGUUGAAAAAGGUAUCUAGUUUCUUGGGAAAUUAAUUCAAUUAAUAUUUUUUCUUUAAUGACUUUAAUUGAUAGAAUGCUUUAAGAGAAAAUUAUUAAUAAAGGGGAUAAGCUUUUUAUUAGAGGUUUAUAAGGUAAAUUUAUUGGUACAUUUUAUAGAUUUAAAAUUGGUCACUAAUUGAAGUAUAUUAAAAUUUUAUGUGGUAGCGAAUUGAUUUAUUAGCCUUUAAUGAUUUACUGAGAUAUACUAGUAAUUUUUGUAAUAGUAAUAAUAAUGAUAAAAUUAGUAAAGAAAAGUUGAUGGGGUAUUUUAAUGAUAAAUUGGGAUGAGGAAUUCGGCAAUAGCUUAUUCGCCUGUUUAACAAAAACAUCUCUUCUUGGAUUGUUUAGGAAGUAUAACCUGCCCAAUGAAUAUAUUUAAUGGCCGCGGUACCUUGACCGUGCAAAGGUAGCAUAAUCAUUAGUCUUUUAAUUGAAGGCUGGAAUGAAUGGUUGGACGAGAUAAGUACUUUCUUAUUCUAAAAAAUUGAACUUAAUUAUUGAGUUAAAAAGCUUAAAUUUUUUUAUGGGACGAGAAGACCCUAUAGAGUUUAAUGAUUAUAAAUUGAUAAUAGUAUGUAAAGGAUUUUGAUUAAUAAUUAUUUUGUUGGGGUGACAGAAAGAUAAGUGUAACUCUUUUUCUAUUGUGAAUAUUAAUUUAUAAGUUUUUGAUCCAUUAUUAGUGAUUAAGAGACUAAAUUACCUUAGGGAUAACAGCGUAAUCUUUUCUGAGAGUUCUAAUCGAGGAUAAGGAUUGCGACCUCGAUGUUGGAUUAAAGAUUAGACUUAGGUGUAGCAGUUUAAGUUCUAGGUCUGUUCGACCUUUAAAUUCUUACAUGAUCUGAGUUCAAACCGGCGUGAGCCAGGUUGGUUUCUAUCUAUUAACAUAUUAGAUGCUUUAGUACGAAAGGACCAAGUAU